CCUCAGCAGGUAUGCAAACAAAUCUAUUUCUUGUUAUUCCUUUGAUCCUAUGUGAUCAUCUAAUAUCAUCAUCUGGUUGAGUUCAGG
rnacentral:sRNA from 1 species